UGCAGAUGAUGUGAUAGAAUAUUUGCUAUCUGACCCCGUGAUGACUUUUUACCUACCAAGAUCGCUGAUGCA